CCUACGGGAGGCAGCAGUGGGGAAUAUUGGACAAUGGGGGAAACCCUGACCCAGCGACGCCGCGUGAGUGAAGAAGUAUUUCGGUACGUAAAGCUCUAUCAGCAGGGAAGAAAGAAAUGACGGUACCUGACUAAGAAGUCCCGGCUAACUGCGUGCGAGCAACCGCGUUAAUCCGUAGGGGGCAAGCGUUAUCCGGAUUUACUGGGUGCAAAGGGAGCGUAGACGGCGAUGCAAGUCUGAGGUGAAAGUCUGGGGCCCAACCCCCGAACUGCUUUUGAAACUGUAUGGCUGGAGUGCAGGAGAGGUAAGUGGAAUUCCUAGUGUAGCAGUGAAAUGCGUAGAUAUCAGGAGGAACACCAGUGGCGAAGGCGGCUUACUGGACUGUAACUGACGUUGAGGCUCGAAAGCGUGGGGAGCAAACAGGAUUAGAUACCCUUGUAGUC
rnacentral:rRNA from 1 species